rnacentral:lncRNA from 1 species
UAACAACACACAACAUUCCAGGAAUGUACUACCAAAGUUCUAUCAAUAUUUGAAUGUCCUGGACAUUUAGGGAACAUUCGGUGAACAUCUGAUUAAAUUAUUCGUGGAAUGUUACCAUAAGACAUUCUGUGAACAUACUACCAAUGUUCCUGUUCAUUUUCAAAUUCACGGCGCAUGUAUUUGUGCAUGGUGCUUAGAGAGGGCAUCACGUGACUAAAAACGACCAAUGACCUCACUUCAGACUUCGGUUCGGCCAUCUUGACAUGCAUCUUGCCUUGGCCACCUUGCCGUGCGUGAUCGUUGUUUGUUUUUAUUUGUGCUUUUUAAGAAUAUUUUUUAAUUCGGAUACUUUUAUAAUAACUUUAAUAGUAUUAUUAAUAUAGUGCAUAAAAUCAGUUGGAGUAGCAGAAGCAAUGUAGAUAAAAAAUCUGCAGGAAUAAUGUUUCAAAGCUUUCCAGAAGAUCCUGCGAAGAAGGCAUGAAGUAUUGAUCAGAUUUGUUAAUAGAGCAGUAUGUUCAAAACAUUUUUUAGAAAAAGAUAUUGACAGAACUUCACUUUCAACCGUUUGAGAGACUGUGCUGUUCCAAUAGCUUAUAUCACACAGAAUCAGCUGAGAGAAGUGGUCUACAAAAAACCAGGAAGGAAAUGGAAUAUGUGGCUAUGAAAGGCAAAAGAAAGGUUUACAAAGCAAAUGUGACACAUUUUUUUAUAGGAAUAUCAGUAAAUUACAUUAAAAAAAUGUAUGAAAAGAUUUUUUGCAAUAAAAAUGUUUAUAUUUAUCAAGCAUGCAUUAUUUGGUAUGGCCACAUAUCGUCAGUGAUGUGACAAUACCUCCUAUCUGUUUUUUCAUGAGAUUUGUAAGAUAGACUAAAAACUUGUUUGGGCCACCUCCUGUUUUCAUAUAUUUUUUGACUUGUUUUGCAGUAAAUUUAACUAUCUAUUUACUACAAAACAAGCCAGAACUUACGUAUGCAAACAGGAGGUGACCUUAAAAAAUGUUUUUCGUCUCCUGCAAACCUCAUGAAAAAAGAU